UAUAUUUGCAACUUGAAAGAAAAUCUUUCAUUGUACAUAACAAUCAUUUACAAUAAUAUUAGCAUG
rnacentral:ncRNA from 1 species